GUGGGGAUGGCUCUGGGCCACCGGCCCAUCCCCAACCAGCCCCCUGCUGCAGCUCACACUGCCAACUUCCUCCUCAACGCCAGCGGCAGCCCCUCGACUCCAGCACCAAGCAGAACAGCCUCUUUUUCCGAGUCCAGAGCAGAUGACAUUGCUCCAGCCAAGAAGGCAAAGCCAACAGCACCUCUGGAUUCAAUCCCAGCUUCAAGACCUGGUCCAGGUA